rnacentral:tRNA from 1 species
GCCGAAGUGGUGGAAUUGGUAGACACAGGGGACUUAAAAUCCCCCGGCUUUAACAGGCUGUACGGGUUCAACUCCCGUCUUCGGCA